AUAUAUAUACAGAUAUAUAUCUGUAUAUAUACGAAUAUAAUCAUGGCAAGGGUUACAUUUUACUGUGUAUGGGAAAUACCAAUAGGAUCAAACACUUCAGCAGUAUCAUCAAUAAUCUACUAUUCUCUUCACUUUUCUUCCUUACCUGUACGCCCCCUACUUCCUCUCUCACUUCCUGCUUCCUAGGGUCACGCCCUGACCAACUCCCUGAAUCUGAAUCUCUGUAGAAGGUCUACUUUCUGGGGAGCUUCAAACUAAGACAGUGUCCGUUGGAAUUCAGCCAUCUCUGUCUCCAGGAGAUUUGCUUCCACUCAGGCAAAGCAACUCCACACUGAGCACAGGGCGAGGGCUAUUCAGGGUGAGAGAUCUUUCCAGUGCGGCCGUUCAGUGAGUGCUUCUGUGGAAUGUUAAAUGCACACCUUCUGAAUUCAAUCGAGGUUAAAGAAAACAACAACACUUCUUCACAGGUAGUUUAGAAAAAAAAAAAAAGAAAGAAAGAAAUGAUGUAGAUGGCUUGCCUGAUUAUUCAUUUUGUCACACUGUUCCCCUGAGUUCUUUGGAGUCGGAGUUGAUGUCUUUUCCAAAACUUAGCGUAGCAUGUUGGAAUAUGUAUAUCAAUAGAUUACAUGCCAUUUCAACGUUCUAACAUGAUCCCAAAGCAGAAAAGGAAA